rnacentral:miRNA from 1 species
GGUCUCAAUGGCCGGAAGGGGUUCCUUCCGGCCAUCAAGAUUGUAUGGUCUUGAUGACCGGAAGGGAUUCUUUCCGGUCAUUGAGACUGUACAGUCUCAAUGACCGGAGGGAAUCCCCCCGGCCAGUGGGAGG